rnacentral:rRNA from 1 species
AUCUACAGCUAUGUUACCCUGAACAUGCCUGAUCUCAUCUGAGCUCAGAAGCUAAGCAGGGUCGGGCCUGGUUAGUACUUGGAUGGGAGAAAUUCAAAAUGUUUAUUGUAAAGC